UCAGUGAUUCUCGAUCUUUCUUGAAGCGCAAUUCAAAUUUCCCCCGAAAAUCUAUCACGAUCUUCAAAAACUAUCAACAUAAUCCUAACCUAACAAAAUUUGUUUAUUACUUUAUAGGUUUAUAAUUAAUAUAAUUUUACAAAUGUACUUUUAAUAAUGAGGUGUAUGCAAAGUGUGCGUUUGUUUUCUGCUAUGGUUGAUAAUAGCACAAACGUCGACGUCAAUGUUUGUUUUUGAUGCCUGAUAGGCCGAAAAUCUAAUUUCACACACGUAUUAAAAUAAGAAUAGAAGUAGUAUUUUUAUAGCUUCUGCUGAAAGAAUUGGAGAUGUUUGUUUAGAUGACAGCCAAAACAGAAUCAAAUAAUUGCUGCUAAAUUUAAGUUUUAAAGAUGAAUCUUCUAAUAAAUCAAUGAGUUUUUCAUCGGCUUUUGUUGAUAUCCCAGUCGAUAUAGCGUUCUGAAACGGAUUCAUAAUUCAGUUAUGUUAUUUGAAUACGUGCCCGAAGGCAUAAGUACAGUUAAUUAAUGAUUAAUAAAUUAGUACAUUAGAUACUUAAACGUACGAUAAUUACAUUAAUGAUGAGUAAACAGAAUGAGAUUGAACAACAAAAGAAUAAAUAUAACAUUUUAAACAAAAUAUACAAUAAACUAUAAAAAACAACAUAUUAUAAAUUAUUAAAACAUUUAAGUACCGUCGUAAUUUCGUCUGAGAGGAAUGAAAAUGUUUAUGCUAUAUUUUAGAUUAUUACAAGAGACCCGUGCUCUAUUGAUAGGUAAAAAAUAGCCGUAAAGUGUCCUGUGUUUUGAUAUAAAAAAUGUUGGUCGGGUUCUGGAAUUGAAUGAUGGAACUGAUUUAUCAAUUAAGCCAAGGAGGAAACUGUCACUGAUUGAACCAUGUAUGUUAUAAAUAAACAUCACGUCUAAGUAUGUCUCGAACUCAAUGUGUUUAUAUUUAACGAACAUCUAAGAGGUUCGUAGUUGUGGUUAAUCAUUGUAUAACUAUUAGAAAGUUCUAAAGUACAAACCUUAGAAAUUUAUUUCGGACACGUUCAAUUUUAUUAUUCCAGCACAGCUGAUAUGGAUUCCAUUAGAUGGAGCCAUAUUCCAUAGUUGAUUUUUGAAUGCAGGACCUAACUACGAUGUGCCGAAAUUAUUAAAACAAUGUACGUCGUGUGUUCCCAUGACAACAACAAUUGUUUAAAAAAUAUUAAAAUAAUAAUAACAAAAAAUAAAUAAAAAUAGUUAUCAAUGACAACCUUAUUAUUAAUUUUUCAAUCUUUUAACCUAAAAAUUGAGGUUUUUUUAAUUAUUUCGAAUAAUAAUGAGAGUUUAAAAAAAUUACCUACUUAAAGUACCACGUCAGUCAAAUUUUCUUCAAAAAAAAGUGCUAUAAUUGAAAAUAGGAGUAAAAUUUCUGGUAGAAAAAUUAUUCACAAAUAAAAAAAAAAAAAAAAAAACAUGAUUGCAAAAACCUAUACAUUCCUUGCUCCACUCAGAAUUUAAAAACAUAAAUUUCUUGGAAUCUAUAUAGUUCAAAACAAUUUUCACAACAUACAAAAAAUUGACUCGGGACUCACUUGCAGUGGGUCGUAACCCACAGUUUAAAAUUCUCUGAUUUAAAUGUUUGUGAUGAUUGAUACCAUCUAGUAAAUGAAUUAAUGUAGAUGAAUAAUCAUAUGCAAUAUCAAAUUAAAAAAUUGUACUGCUAACGAAUAAAAUUCAAAUGAGUGGCCAUAGAUUGUGAGUGGUGACUUAUUACUCAUCCCUAUAUUAUUAAAAAAGUAAAAUUAUUACCGUUUUCCGCUCAGAAUCAUUUUUUAUUAGUAUUGAUUAGGUAUAAACUUAAUUCCUCACUAUAUCCAACCUUUCCAAAUUUCCACCUAAAACCUAGGUUAACUCGUCUUUUUAGAUGCUGAGUGUAGCAUUCCACCAUGAUAUUUAUUUUAUUUUUCUAUUUUUUACACUGUGACAAAAAUUUCUACCAGAAAUCUUGCUUUAAUAUGUGCGUGUGGCACCAUUUCUGAAAGAAAAUAUUGUCUCUAUAAAA